rnacentral:rRNA from 1 species
GACGAACGCUGGCGGCGUGCUUAACACAUGCAAGUCGAACGGAAAGGCCUGCUUUCCCUUGUGGAUUGCGGGUACUCGAGUGGCGAACGGGUGAGUAACACGUGAGUGAUCUGCCCCCAACUUGGGUAUAAGCCUGGGAAACUGGGUCUAAUUCCCGAUAGGACUGCAGGGUGGUGCCUGUGGUGGAAAACGAUUUUCUAGUGGUUGGGGAUGAGCUCGCGGCCUAUCAGCUUGUUGGUGGGGUAAUGGCCUACCAAGGCGGCGACGGGUAGCCGGCCUGGGAGGGUGGACGGCCACAUUGGGACUGAGAUACGGCCCAGACUCCUACGGGAGGCAGCAGUGGGGAAUAGUGCACAAUGGGCGGAAGCCUGAUGCAGCGACGCCGCGUGGGGGAUGACGGCCUUCGGGUUGUAAACUCCUUUCGACCGCGAGGAAGCCACCUGGUUGGAAGGGUGGUGACGGUAGUGGUAGAAGAAGCACCGGCUAACUACGU